CCUACGGGAGGCAGCAGUGGGGAAUAUUGCACAAUGGGGGAAACCCUGAUGCAGCGACGCCGCGUGAAGGAAGAAGUAUUUCGGUAUGUAAACUUCUAUCAGCAGGGAAGAAAAUGACGGUACCUGACUAAGAAGCCCCGGCUAACUACGUGCCAGCAGCCGCGGUAAUACGUAGGGGGCAAGCGUUAUCCGGAUUUACUGGGUGUAAAGGGAGCGUAGGCGGUCCAGCAAGUCAGAAGUGAAAGCCCGGGGCUCAACUCCGGGACUGCUUUUGAAACUGUUGAACUAGAGUGCAGGAGAGGUAAGUGGAAUUCCUAGUGUAGCGGUGAAAUGCGUAGAUAUUAGGAGGAACACCAGUGGCGAAGGCGGCUUACUGGACUGUAAAUGACGCUGAGGCUCGAAAGCGUGGGGAGCAAACAGGAUUAGAUACCCUGGUAGUC
rnacentral:rRNA from 1 species